UCAUGGGUGGGGUGUUAAACC
rnacentral:miRNA from 1 species